rnacentral:lncRNA from 1 species
UUUUUUUUUUUUUUUUUUUUUUACACAACACAAUGGUGACAUUCAGCACAAUGGUGGACCCUCAACGGUUUGAUGAUAUUACAAGUAGUACAUACAUUCUGUUAUAUAAGAACACUUUAGGAUAUAAUAAAGCCUUACACUUUUCUAAAUUUAUUAAAAUGUUAUCAUACUCUUCAAUCAUACUUUCGUUUUCCAUAUUUCUAUUAAAAUUAUUACUAGGGCUCAGAAUUAGUACAACCAAAAGAAUCAGCAUGUACAUUUACAUGUAGUGAAAGUCUUUUUUUAUUAUUAUAAGACCCAGGAUCUUUAAAAUAUAAAGAACACCACAAAACUAAGUACAAUAACCAUAGUGUUAUCCAUAUAAUAGCUUCGGUUUUGUAUUUAUUUAUUAUAGUAAACGAUUUGGUAAUAUUAAAAUAAAUAAGUAAAUUUAAAUAUGCA